GGUAGGGUAAGCUAAGUGUAAGCUGUUGGGUUCAUGCCCCGAUUAUAGAGGGUUUAUUUCUCUUCCUAUUA
rnacentral:tRNA from 1 species